AAAUAACCUAUUGCCUAGAGCCUGCUGGGUCCCAUGGUGUUUGGGGACUAGAUGACUACCACUUUUUACCUUUUAUAUUCGGGUCAUCUCAGUUGAUUGAUCACAAGUACAUGAAACCAAAAUCUAUUCAUAACGAAGAUAUCUUGGAGAACUUUUCAAAUGAAUAUUUGUACCUCUCAUGUAUUAUAUUCAUUAAAUCUAUUCAUAAUGAAGAUAUCUUGGAGAACUUUUCAAAUGAAUAUUUGUACCUCUCAUGUAUUAUAUUCAUAAAGAAGGUGAAGAAGGGAGUGUUUGCAGAGCAUUCUCCUAUGUUAGAUGACAUUAGUGGUGUGCUCAAUUGGAACAAGGUAAACAGUGGCUUGCUUAAGAUGUACAAGAUGGACGUU
rnacentral:lncRNA from 1 species